GACGAACGCUGGCGGCAGGCUUAACACAUGCAAGUCGAGCGCCCCGCAAGGGGAGCGGCGGACGGGUGAGUAACGCGUGGGAAUCUGCCCUUUGGUGUGGGACAACCACGGGAAACUGUGGCUAAUACCGCAUGAGCCCGAGAGGGGAAAGCCGCAAGGCGCCGAGGGAUGAGCCCGCGUCGGAUUAGCUAGUUGGUAGGGUAACGGCCUACCAAGGCGAUGAUCCGUAGCUGGUCUGAGAGGAUGAUCAGCCACACUGGGACUGAGACACGGCCCAGACUCCUACGGGAGGCAGCAGUGGGGAAUAUUGGACAAUGGGGGAAACCCUGAUCCAGCCAUGCCGCGUGAGUGAUGAAGGCCUUCGGUUGUAAG
rnacentral:rRNA from 1 species